rnacentral:rRNA from 1 species
CGGACCGGCGCACGGGUGAGUAACGCGUAUGCAACUUACCUAUCAGGAGGGGGAUAACCCGGCGAAAGUCGGACUAAUACCGCAUGAAGCAGGGGCCCCGCAUGGGGAUAUUUGCUAAAGAUUCAUCGCUGAUAGAUAGGCAUGCGUUCCAUUAGGCAGUUGGCGGGGUAACGGCCCACCAAACCGACGAUGGAUAGGGGUUCUGAGAGGAAGGUCCCCCACAUUGGUACUGAGACACGGACCAAACUCCUACGGAAGGCAGCAG